rnacentral:rRNA from 1 species
GACGGAGGAUGCAAGUGUUAUCCGGAAUUACUGGGCGUAAAGAGCUCGUAGGUGGUUUGUCGCGUUGUCCGUGAAAACUCACAACUCAAUUGUGGGCGUGCGGGCGAUACGGGCAGACUGGAGUACUGCAGGGGAGACUGGAAUUCCUGGUGUAGCGGUGGAAUGCGCAGAUAUCAGGAGGAACACCGGUGGCGAAGGCGGGUUGCUGGGCUGACACUGACGCUGAGGCGCGAAAGCUAGGGGAGCGAACGGG